CACACCGGUAGCUCAGUGGUUAGAGCGCUGGCUUCUCAAGCCAGAGGGCCGGGGUUCGAUUCCCCGGCCGGGUGG
rnacentral:tRNA from 1 species